ACAGACACACAGAGGGAGAGGCAGAGAUACAUGUGCUGCGUCCACAAGCCAAGGAUAGCCGGUGUCCAGCAGAGCCCAGGCUCAAGUUCCCAAUCCCUGGGGAGGCCCCCACUGCGUGGAGGCUGGCACUGCUCAUCACAGCGCCAGCCGCCUGCAGGGGAUAGAAGUCCAGACACUUCGUUCCCGGCAUCUUGACAUCCAGGUCGCCAAGGAGAGCGCGAGGCAGCCGAGCACCGACAGGACAAGCUUUACUCAGGAGAGAAGAGACCAGGUCGGCUUCCGCCGUGGGCCUCGUCCCCACGCCGGGUCCUCCCCACCCUGCUGGCCUGCACGCACCCAUCUUGUGCUGCAGGAAGGACCUGACCCCUCCUGAGGAGUCUGACAUGCUGAGCGCUGGGGGUGCAUCCAUCUCACAACCGGAGGGAGGUCCACACACAGGCUCUAUGGGCCCCCAUCUAUUGAAAAGAAACGGUGCCGUUUGUAAGUGGCCCUUCGGGGGCGGAGAUACGGCCUUUCCCCACAGCUGAAGCUGGGAGGGCUGAUCCUGGUCCUCCCCUCCCCUCCAGUCCUGACAGAGGUGGCCUGGCAGCACCUGACUUCCAGCUGAAAGGAGACACCUCUGUGGUUUCAAGGCCCCCAGUUUGCUGCACACGUUACAGUCGAGAAAACUAAUACUGCCAAAGAGCCCAAUAAUUUUUCCUCAGCAGCAAGAGAAGCAGCCGCAGUUCGUACCGUCCCUUCUACUCAGCCGCACCCGAGCUCGCCCGGCAAGGACGUGUGAGGGGCUGGAGGGAGGCCCCGCUGCGACAGGCGUCUGUCUGUGCUUCCACCUUGCCUGCCUCGCUGGACAGCCUGUUUCACGGUGGGGGCCCACUGCUGCCCCCAGGCACUGAGCCAGCACCCACUGUGUCCAGAACUCAUAGGGUCAUCAAGGCAGAGUGUCUGAGGUUUUGAAACCUGUCCCCAGAGUCUGUGACAUUCCUCCUUUCCAAAGGUGGGGCCUCACCCACCCCACCCCCACCUUGAGGGUAGGCUGUUCUUAAUGACUCACUUCUGCUUCCGUGACUAGUUCACCCCCAUGUGAGCCAGCCGACUUGGAAGUGGGUACUCCAAGCCCACGCAGCCUCCAGACAACCUCCACUGAUGUCCUGACUGCAGCCUCCUGGGAGGCUCUGUGCCAGAACCACCCAGCUCCUGGAGUCCUGACUCAACAGAAACGAUGUUUGUUGUUUUCAGCCACUGCUUGGACUCACUUGUUACACAGCAGUAGGUAACGAAUACAGCUCUAACUGGCUUCCCAGGAGUCCCCCAUUUGUUUGCUGCUCUUUGUUAAGGAGAAGCGCGAUUGCUUUUCUGCAAAGGAUUCCCCAUCAUCUCCCAACCUCAGAGGCUCCACAUGGUGACUGUCCCUCAGUGCCUUACCAGGGCCGCCUAAGAGAUUUCUGAUGUCUCCACCUUACUGGAGGCUGUGUGUCCUGGGUUCUGACUUUCCCACCUCUCCCUGGACAGGGGAAGGUGGGGAGAUGGUCCCCAUGUUGGGACCAGAUCUGUGUCUGUGAACCGUCAGCUGUCCAACGGGGUCCACAGAGUGAUGGGACACACCCUGGGAUUCUAGGACCACCCCCCCCCAUCCAAGCAAGACCCACAGCUGUGGUGAGUAGGGCAGGCCCCAGACCUCAGACCCUGAUCUUCCUCUGCAGUGGCAAGCUGAGAGCCCGGCCCACAGGAGGGCGCAGCCCUGGGGGAGCUGGGGCGGCCCCACCUGCAGCGGAGGUCCCAGCCUCCCCCCUCCCACCCCCACUGUCUCCUGGGGCUCCGGAGGGGAAAGUGGGCUUGCGUGCUGUUUAUAUGCUCUUUUCUUAAAAUCGCCAUUGUCAUGAGAACUGUUUGCAGUUGUGGUGAUGACACACAAGGGUGGGGUUUCCAGGGGGACGCUUGCACAGGCAGCGGCCUCGCAGCUCAUCUGACCCCCACAGAUGCAGGACACACGCUGGGAGAGUUCAACCGUUUCUUAAGCACACACAUUUUUUUAAAUUGUUCAUUUGAUUUAAUUUUUGAGUUCACUUUUACUACGUGGAUGAGAUGGGUGUGUAUUACACUAGGGCUUCCGCUAUGAGAGAGCUGCCACCACUCAGAGAAAUCCAACCCUCCGUCCCUUUCCGCUCCCCUUUCUGAGUCCCACAAAAGCCACCGGUGGGCACUGCUGGGUUCCAGUCCUGGCUUGUCACUCCCUCGGGGGCUGUCUCAGUGGGGACAGGGAUGGGGGGCACAGGUCCCAACUUCCCCAGAAGCCCACUGCAAUGGAUCAGUACCCACCCAUGCUCCCUGGCUUGGCUCUGGGAGGUCACCAGCAGUGUCCCCAUAGGUUUCUGUAGAACGAAAGCCAGGGGCACUGAGGGCUGCAAUCAUCUGGUUUCUGAGGCACUGGCUCUGGGUCCUUCCUGCAAGAAACGCCUCAGGCUUUCCACCAAGAGGCUGGCCAGUGAGGACUCGGACCCCAGUGCCCAGUCGUGGGGCUGGGCUGCCAGGGAGAAGAGGAGGCUGCUGCUGUGUCCAAGCAGGUAGCCGUCCUCAAAGGCUGGCGCUGGGGGGUCGGAGGUCCCCCCAGACUGAGGGAGGGGGAGGAGGCCAGCCGAGCAGGGUCUUGGCAGGAGAUAGAGCCAGGCCUCCAACCUGCAGGCUGGCCAGAGUGGGCCACCAGCCAGGAAUGGAAGGAUGGAGGAGGUGGCUUGGGAACCCUGUCCCCUGCCCCCCGACAUCUGAAUCUUCAGGCACUGGUCCCCCGCCCCCCAGCAUCUACUCAGGGCUCCCAGAGGGGCACCCACUCACACUGGGCCACCUGUCCAGAGGUACGCCUGAAAGCCCUGUGGCCAGGAACAGUGUGGGAGCAUCUUUUGACCAGAGCAGAGGGCACACGGGAGGGGGCUGAGACUCCAAAGGGAUAUAAGGAUGGGUCCUCCAAGGGCAUCCGCAAAGCGUGGAGGAGAGGAGGGACAGUGGGAGGCUGGCUUUCCCCGCACAGGUGCUGGGCCAGAAGGAGAAGGCCCUUCUGGGAGGAGGGGCCGGCACGUGUCCAUGCUGCCCACAACCCUCUAGACCACAGCAGCUCGCUCACAGGUCCCUGGUGGAACAUGCCCACUCCCCUGAAGACCCAGGCCAGGCCACACCCCACCACCACUCCAGCCAAGGGCAAUGACCGAAGCCUCCCAGGCCAGCCGAGGGUGCCAACCUCAGGCCUGGGGGUCUCAGAGGGCCCCUGUGCCACCACAUUAAAGCGUGCUGCAGCUCCUACCCACCAGUUCCAAAAAGCACCACUGCACACGGGAUUCCCAGGGCUGGCCAGUGACAGGGUACCUGCCCCCCACUGCCCAGAGAUCCUUCUCUGUCCCAGUCUGUCUUCCUCCGCCCACUU